rnacentral:rRNA from 2 species
AAAUUGAAGAGUUUGAUCAUGGCUCAGAUUGAACGCUGGCGGCAGGCCUAACACAUGCAAGUCGAACGGUAACAGGAAGAAGCUUGCUUCUUUGCUGACGAGUGGCGGACGGGUGAGUAAUGUCUGGGAAACUGCCUGAUGGAGGGGGAUAACUACUGGAAACGGUAGCUAAUACCGCAUAACGUCGCAAGACCAAAGAGGGGGACCUUCGGGCCUCUUGCCAUCGGAUGUGCCCAGAUGGGAUUAGCUAGUAGGUGGGGUAACGGCUCACCUAGGCGACGAUCCCUAGCUGGUCUGAGAGGAUGACCAGCCACACUGG